GGAAGAGAGAUGAGAGAAGAGAACCAAAGCCACUACAGAACAUGACCUAAAUCAGGACAAACAUUGGAAGACCGUCAGAUGUUUUAAAAAAAGAAGUCUGGAUCCGACUCUGAAAGUAGUUUCUAUUAACCAGACCUGCUGCCACUGAGCUUUUGAAAGGAAAUCACUGCUAAUGCAUCUGGCACUGCCUGGAGAAAAGGAACUGAACAGAGUUGGCCCCUUUUGAUGCCAGUCAGUGAUCUGUCCUCACGUGAUGCCAGCUCCUCUGUGUGGAGUUACAACCUGUUACAGAUUCUAGCCAGUCUUUUUGUUUUCUUACGAGAUUUUUGUUGCAAGGUGUCUAAUUUUUAAGAUGUUACAGAUGGAAGCAUGAAAAUGG